rnacentral:rRNA from 1 species
GAUGAACGCUGGCGGCGUGCCUAAUACAUGCAAGUCGAGCGAACAGACGAGGAGCUUGCUCCUCUGACGUUAGCGGCGGACGGGUGAGUAACACGUGGAUAACCUACCUAUAAGACUGGGAUAACUUCGGGAAACCGGAGCUAAUACCGGAUAAUAUAUUGAACCGCAUGGUUCAAUAGUGAAAGACGGUUUUGCUGUCACUUAUAGAUGGAUCCGCGCCGCAUUAGCUAGUUGGUAAGGUAACGGCUUACCAAGGCAACGAUGCGUAGCCGACCUGAGAGGGUGAUCGGCCACACUGGAACUGAGACACGGUCCAGACUCCUACGGGAGGCAGCAGUAGGGCAUCUUCCGCAAUGGGCGAAAGCCUGACGGAGCAACGCCGCGUGAGUGAUGAAGGUCUUCGGAUCGUAAAACUCUGUUAUUAGGGAAGAACAAAUGUGUAAGUAACUAUGCACGUCUUGACGGUACCUAAUCAGAAAGCCACGGCUAACUACGUG